rnacentral:rRNA from 1 species
UACAGAGGGUGCAAGCGUUGCUCGGAAUCAUUGGGCGUAAAGGGUAGGUAGGUGGUCUCGUUUGUCUGGGGUGAAAUCCUUGGGCUUAACUCAAGAAGUGCCUUAGAAACGGCGAGACUGGAGUACUGGAGAGGGUCGUGGAAUUCCCGGUGUAGCGGUGAAAUGCGUAGAGAUCGGGAGGAACACCAGAGGCGAAGGCGGCGACCUGGACAGUAACUGACACUAAACGUACGAAAGCGUGGGGAGCAAACAGG